AUAUAUAUAUAUAUAUAUUUCUAUGUGUGACUUUAUGUGUGGUUAGAUUAUUUACAAAAUUGUUACUCUACCUGCCAAUCAGAUUAGUUGGUUUUUUUCAAUUGUUUAUAUUUUGACCUUUGGGAAGUGGUCUAUUUAUACAUCUAUUGUGUAUACUACUAUAGAACUAGACGUGUGUAACCCCAGAUGUUUGUUCAAGAUGCAUUCAUUUUGAUGUAGAUCUAGUGUGUACAUGUGUUGAUGUGCUGCCAGAACACUUGUGGGUGCAGUGUCUCUUCAGUCUUUUAAUUUGUUGUUGUUCCUGCUUGAUGCUGUGUCAUGGCAAGUUUGAAGUCAAUCAAUCCAAAAUGUUUAUCACUUGACUUCAAAUGUACCAAUACACAAACAAAUAGAAAGAUUCAAACUCUAUUUGUAGGUUAGGAUUAUCUACUAUUUGGUUACAUCACAACUUUCCCAUAUUUAUAGAACUAGUUUAUAUUAUUUAACAAAUAGUCCAAUUUUAACUUUUACAGUGUUUUUUUUAUAUAUAAAUAUUCUCUUUCUCUAUACAUCUAUCUAUUUAUU